rnacentral:lncRNA from 1 species
GGAGGGGAGCCAGGCACAGCUCGUAGUCCCCAAGGACUCAGACAAGGCACAGCAGGUCUGACAACAGCAGCCAGGCACAGGCAAGAGUCCCAGACUGCCAGGCAGGGCCAUGGUGACGAGAUGGGUCCAAAGUCAAGCUCAGAAGUCUGCCUGUGGAUCUGGGGCAGGGUGUGGCUCUCUGAAAGCUGACUCAAUUUACUGAGGAGUCAGAGGAAUACCAGUCAGAGCAAACAAGGAGGCAUUUUGGCUGGAAGUAGAGGACCACAGAGAGAAAGAGCUAGAAACACUCACUGCCCUGAGAGAAGACCGCUGUUCCUGGACGCCUCGAUAAAGCAAUUCCUUCCGUCUCACCCAGCUGUGCUACUUUACAUAAACAGGUUCUGUCUGAAGAAGUUGGUGAGGAAGUCAACUACUCUGGGCAUUUGUGUUUGCAAAAUAUUAUUCCAACAAGCAGAAUACACACAGUAAAGUUUCUUUGCUUUUACUGAGGAGACCACAGACCCUCCUUAAGUGUAUUUCAGAGCAAUAGUACAUGCUUGCCAGGGCUGUAUUUGCAGCUUCUUUCUGCUUGCAGUCCUUCACUUUCAUUUCCCCCUUUCAUGCUGUUACACUGUUCCAAAGCUGUAACCAGGAAACUCCUCUGCUCACAUAGUUCACAUUUCUAAGUGGAUUAAUGUGCAAAUGCAUGUUUUCACAAAUUGGCUGAAAAACAGAAGACAAAUAAACAUAAGCAAAUGACUGAAAGGUUUGCCA